AAAUACAAGAAAGCGUCUGUAUGGCCGUGGUUCAACCAGAAACUUCACUUGUAGUAAUCAUCAAGGUACGCAGUGCACGUGGUAUUGUUCUGACCAUGACGUUUUUUGCUGCUCGGCAUGUAAGGAGUCAGAUCAUAGAUCCUGUGUUGGAUUAAAGCAAGUAGUAUCAGAAAGGUCUUACGGGAAACAGAAUCGAACACUUGCCGUUAAACGUAAGAUAGGAGACUAUAAUGUACAGAUAAAGAAUCGUUUGAUUAACAGAGACGACAAUGAUGAAUAUGAUUGUGAGAUACGCAGUAUCCAUAUGCUUCCUGAUGGUAACGUUCUCCUUCUUGAUGCCUAUAACGGUAAACUGAAGAAAAUUGACAGUUCGUACAAGGUCGUCAGUCACUGUCAUUUUUCGAACGAGCUCUGUAGUUUGAGUGACGUGAGUUAUAUAGGUGACGGUAAAGCUGUUGUCUGUUUUACGAUUGGUAGAAUUCAGUAUGUUAAUGUAUCGGGUAAGAUGAAGGUUGAGAAUGAUGUACAGCUUGACCACUACUGUUACGCUCUGGCUUGUCAUGGUGAUACACUCUAUGUCGGAGAUGAUGACGCGAUAUAUAUACCUAUACCAUACACUCUCAGGGGAAGCAUCUUCUUUACAACCUAAAAAAUACAUUUUCGAUUUUCCUCCGUAUUGCUAUCAGUGAUGACGGUGAACGAAUGUAUAUUACAACUGGUAAUACACCACUUAUAACAAUAGAUAACAAAGGAAACCAUCUGUUUACUUUGAAGACUGUCAUAGGGCAUCCAAAACGAGAUGUAUGUGUUGUUGGGGACGGUACUGUACUUGUAUUAGACAUAGAAGGAAGCGUACAUCAGGUUGAUUAUACCGGUAAACAAGUUCUUGGAACAAUUGUUGUUGACUGGACAUAUGAUAUAGAUAUGAUACGCAGGUUGUGCUUUGAUAGACAACGAUGUAGACUAAUCUUAAAAAGCAACAGAGAAAACUGUAUAUCUGUCUUUAAGCUACAGCAUCGCAAACGUGAUACAGAAAUGAAUUAACGUAUUGGAUGCAAGAAAAUGCUAAAAAAAUAUACAUUAGUUUAAACUAUAAUUUAAUACAUUCAUUGUGUUAAGAGUGAAGAACAUACAUGAGUUGAAUACGGAAUCCUCUUCGUGCCACUUAAAUUCUCGCCUCGCCAACACGCUACAACGCGAUAAUUAACGCAUUCUCGCCUUGUCCGAAAACAUUAUAUACAUGCGAGAUUUAACAAUCCUCGCGAGGUUAAAAGCGCGAUUAUUAUCGUCUAAAUUUUCGCUUGUCUUUCUUAAACCUCGCAUCAUGAAAUUGAAAUCAAAUAUACAUUAUUGCGAGAAUUUGUAAAGUAAAACCUCGCAUUGUCGCCCGGUGAUAGGGAUUAUUUCUUACUAUAGCACCGUUGGUGAAAAUUUCUGCUACACCGUUGACAAAGGGAAACUAAGGAACCCUGUUAGAGUCCCAUUGAAUCCCGACAAAAUAUUGUCAAAAAAAAAAACGAGUAUGAAAACAAUUUUCUACACGCCGUCGGAAAAAUUUGCUAAACUUUGCAAUUUUUGCUUAAAAUAUUAGCCGUUAAAUAAGACUUGUGCUUAUGAAAUAUUUAUUUUACGUAAAUAACUGCAAAUAAAACUUUUUUGUAGCUUAAAUAUCUACCAACAUAUCCAUAUAAGGUAUGGGUAGGUACCCGGGAUUGAGAGACUCGAAAAAACGGUCAAAACCUAACCUAGUGUCAUUAUUACAAUACCGUACCUCCAUGUAUUACCUCCCAUGACACAGAUGGCCCUCACAAAUACUUAAACAUGAUCUCACUCAAUGGAUCAAAUUUGAUUUCCUGCAAAAAAAAAAAAAAAAAAAAAAUCGGAGACAAAAAUAUUUUUAAUAUUUAUUAAUUAUUCAGGAAUUCGAGUUUAAUCUAUUUCACCGACGGAACUGCCUUCACAAAUAAAACAUCUUACCCUAAACUAAUAUUUUUGGGUGUUAAUGGUUGUUGGGGUGGGUAUCUUUAAAAAAACUUUGAAAAAUGCGAAAAAAAGUUUGGUGUAAUAAAAAAUAGUAUUAGUAAGUGCUAGGCACAAACUUUAAAACAAAUGAGUGAUGAAUAAAUUUUGACCCUCAAGGAAGUGACCUUUACCUGAUCAAUACAUACAAAAAUCACUGGGAAAAUCAAAUUUUAGUCGGGUUUUAUAUUUUUCAAGUCCAGUGCUGCAGACAUAUUAUUAUAAUUACAAUAUAUAGAGAAUAUUAGGUUACUGUCUUUCUUAACUUAAGUUUAUCCACCGAGUUGGAGAAAGGUUUAUCCCCCUCGGCAAGCCUUCGGAGACGAGGUGGAUAAACUUAAGUUAAGAAAGACAGUAACCUAAUAUUCUAUUUAUCCUGCAGUCAAUAACAUCUCUGUAAUACUAUAACAUAUAUUUACUUUCAAAAUGUCUUUUUUCUAUACAAAAAUAAUCCAGAUUUUCACUCACUUGUGAAUUCCUACGCCCUUCAACCCCCUUGUCUGCUUGAUCCAGUUACACAAGAUUCCUUACAAUAAAACAUUAUUUCAUUGCCUUCUGAAUUUCUGUGGAUUAUAAAUCAUCGGUGCUAACAGGGCAUCCGCGUACGAAACAAGCAGAAUGGUUUUCACUCGGAUAAAAUACAGCCGAAAACCACGCUUGAGAUGAAUUCAAAUGCCCGCAGUCUUAAAUUUACUUCAUUUUCGUACAAGGCAAUGUGAGAUAAUGAAAUUCCUUCCACCAUGAAUGGUUUAGAUCCAAUAAUUACAAUAAACGACUGCUUAAAUCUGGUUAUUUGUGUAAAUUUCUAACUAAAAAAUGAGUGAACGCCAAAUAAACAAAGUCAAGGACGAUUCACUCAAACUUUAAAAACCAUCAUUAGGUUUACUAGGAUAGAGUGAACCAAUUUUAAUUUUUUUUCACCGUGGCUGUCCUCAUAAAAUAAUUAAAUAUUUGAGCUUUGAACUCUUAGCCCAGUUUACAUUGCCUAUAGCACAUAUACUUGAAGAAGUAGUUCGUCAGUCGCAUUGACGGUAUAAACCUGCAUUGACUGAAUAAACCUCAACUUUACACGGCAGGCAGAUAUUGGCCUGAUAAAUGCAUAGUGGUAGGAAAAAAUGUACAUAAAUGUCGUAGCUACAAAAUAAGAACAUAACACGAAAUGAUGUUACAGGAAAUAAGUUAGCAGCCUAGCAGCGUGAAGUUGACGGUCUAGCAGCCCAGCGGCCUAGCAACGUGAAGUUAACAUCCUAGUAGCCUAGCGGCCUAGCAUCUUUAACAUUAUUUUUAAAUGAGUAAUCGUUCACACCAAGACUUCAAUCCAUUUUAGAUCCAACCAUCUAGCAAUUUUGCAACCGAAAAAACGAGCAGCCUAGUAGCCUAUCGGCCUAGCAGCCUACAUAUUAUCUUGUUGAAGUCACUGCCGCUUCAGAGAG